rnacentral:rRNA from 1 species
CAUGCAGUCGAACGAGAGAAGAGAAGCUUGCUUUUCUGAUCUAGUGGCGGACGGGUGAGUAACACGUGAGCAAUCUGCCUUUCAGAGGGGGAUACCGAUUGGAAACGAUCGUUAAUACCGCAUAAUAUAAUUGAACCGCAUGAUUUGAUUAUCAAAGAUUUAUCGCUGAAAGAUGAGCUCGCGUCUGAUUAGCUAGUUGGUAAGGUAACGGCUUACCAAGGCGACGAUCAGUAGCCGGACUGAGAGGUUGAUCGGCCACAUUGGGACUGAGACACGGCCCAGACUCCUACGGGAGGCAGCAGUGGGGAAUAUUGCACAAUGGAGGAAACUCUGAUGCAGCGAUGCCGCGUGAGGGAAGAAGGUUUUAGGAUUGUAAACCUCUGUCUUCAGGGACGAAAAAAUGACGGUACCUGAGGAGGAAGCUCCGGCUAACUACGUGCCAGCAGCCGCGGUAAUACGUAGGGAGCGAGCGUUGUCCGGAAUUACUGGGUGUAAAGGGAGCGUAGGCGGGAUCGCAAGUCAGAUGUGAAAACUAUGGGCUUAACCCAUAAACUGCAUUUGAAACUGUGGUUCUUGAGUGAAGUAGAGGUAAGCGGAAUUCCUAGUGUAGCGGUGAAAUGCGUAGAUAUUAGGAGGAACAUCAGUGGCGAAGGCGGCUUACUGGGCUUUAACUGACGCUGAGGCUCGAAAGCGUGGGGAGCAAACAGGAUUAGAUACCCUGGUAGUCCACGCCGUAAACGAUGAUUACUAGGUGUGGGGGGACUGACCCCUUCCGUGCCGCAGCAAACGCAAUAAGUAAUCCACCUGGGGAGUACGACCG